CUACGGGAGGCACCAGUGGGGAAUAUUGCACAAUGGGCGCAAGCCUGAUGCAGCCAUGCCGCGUGUAUGAAGAAGGCCUUCGGGUUGUAAAGUACUUUCAGCGGGGAGGAAGGGAGUAAAGUUAAUACCUUUGCUCAUUGACGUUACCCGCAGAAGAAGCACCGGCUAACUCCGUGCCAGCAGCCGCGGUAAUACGGAGGGUGCAAGCGUUAAUCGGAAUUACUGGGCGUAAAGCGCACGCAGGCGGUUUGUUAAGUCAGAUGUGAAAUCCCCGGGCUCAACCUGGGAACUGCAUCUGAUACUGGCAAGCUUGAGUCUCGGAGAGGUGGGUAGAAUUCCAGGUGUAGCGGUGAAAUGCGUAGAGAUCUGGAGGAAUACCGGUGGCGAAGGCGGCCCCCUGGACGAAGACUGACGCUCAGGUGCGAAAGCGUGGGGAGCAAACAGGAUUAGAUACCCUUGUAGUC
rnacentral:rRNA from 1 species